GACAGGCCUGGCUGUUGGACUUCUGGGCAGAGAGACCUGUCACUGGGAACGAACGCCACAGUUGAUCAGCUGUGUGACGAGAUGAUGAGCAGAAGCCCAGGAUGAGGUGCCUGGCGUCUGUCUGUCCGUCUGUCCUUAGCCCGAGUAGCUGCAACCUCCUUCCUCCUGCGCGGGGUAGAGGUUCAUCUUGUAUACAACAAAGCCACAGAUCUUGAGAAAGGUCCCAGAAGGUUCUGUUCCUGUGCAGAAGUCACAGGAGGCAAGACUAAGGCGACGUGUGAGCUGAAGCGUGGACCUCGCUGAGUUCAAGGGUGCCAAGGGAUCCUGAGAGGGGCUGGGAGUGCGCUGUGGCACUUCAGGAAAGAGAGCUGAGUUGACACUGGGAGACAGUGCGGAGACAGACAUCAGCGAAGAAGACACGACAUCGACGGGCCACCUUUCAGGACUGACUCGCUUUGUGAUCACAGGCCCUGGUGCUCCCUGACUUCCCAAUUCGGACCCCAGACAAAGCAGGUUUGCUAGGCCACCAGCCCCAGCGCGGGGGUGGGAACGACGUACGUGGCUCAAGGGCGGCAUCGUGCGGUCAUCGCGGGGUAGUUCACUCUACAGCCUCCAUUAUGAGUCUAGAGGACAGCAGUCCGUGUUCUCGUGCUCCCCCUCCACGCAACCCCCCUCCCCAGGGAGAUUAGGAAAACAAAGCAAAAGUCCCAUCCCAAGGGGCCCAGGAUCUGGAACGGGUUGGGAGCGUGAGGCGCCCUUCAGUGAGGUUCUUUACAGCUUUCUUCUCACCUGGGAUAGAUCACCUCUCAAAAUGGGUUCUGAGUCGACAACUAUUUGCCACUUGCUCUUCAACUGAGUAUCUCAAGUCACAGUUCUGCUCCUUCCGGGAGCUGUUCCCAUUAAAAGGCAUCUUUCAGAAAAGAUUUCAGCUUCCAGUACGCGAGAGGAACCUGGCCUUCUGAGUCCCUCAGAUCCGGAGUCAGAGCCCAGUCUUCCAGGACUAGCUGUGUGCUUCUUGGGAAAGCCGCUAACCCUCUCGGCGCUUCAGUUUCCUCAUCCACAAAACAAGUUUCCAGCACCUGGUGCCUUCAUUCAGAACUGAAGGUGGAACCCAGAAACAUCACAAGAAGCCUCCACUCACGCGGUCCAGGCUUCAGCUUCCGCAGAAUCGUGAGAAAGGAGCCCAUGGAAACGGGAGCUGUUGAAUGCCUAUGGAGCUCAAUUAUAGCAAAGCACUGAGAGAGAACGAGGAAGAAGAAAGCUAAAGAAAGAACUAGGCACACUCAUUUUAACUUCUGAAUAACUGGACAGUACAAGAAAACCACAGUUCGUGCCCUAACCUCCCGAUGACAUUUCCGUUUGCCGCGGUCUGGACACAGCUUGUUCCUUCUGAAACUCGUGUCGAAAUUUGAUUGCCAUUGUGCCGGUCAUUCGGCAGGGGCCACCGUGCUCGUGAAUGGCUUAAUCCAUUCAUGGAUUAAUACAUUAGUCCAAGAAUGACUUCCUUAUAAAAGUGAGUUCUCACUUGGAGGAGUAAUUCCAGCUCUCAGCGCAGGAAAGAGGACCCUAAGUUUGAAGCCAGGCUUAACAACUGUCUUAGUCACUGUUCUAUUGCUGUGAAGAGACUCCAUGGCCAAAGCAGCUCCUAUAAGAGCAAACAUUUAACUGAGGGUUGCUUGCAGUUUCGGAGGUUUAGUUCGCUAUCAUCAUAGCUGGGAGCACGCACGAAGAAGGCACGGUGCUGGAGAAGUGGAGGGCUAAGUCCUGAUCCACAGGCAGAAAAACAGAUUGCGAAUGAGCCUGGAAUAGACUUCAAAACCCCAGACUUUGCCACCCCUUCCUCCAUACACUUCCUCCUUCCUCCAAGGUCACACCUCUUAAUCCUUCUAAUCCUAUCAAAGAGUUCCAGUCCCUGGUGACUAAGGAUUCAAAUAUAUGAGUCUAGGGGGGGCCACUCUUAUUCAAACCGCCAUAGCAAUUUAACAUGAGCUACCUCAAAAUAAGCAAAAUCAAGGGCUAGAGAUGUAGGUCAAUGAUCCUGGCUUUAAUCCCCAGUAACACGAAACCAAAGACGGAAACAAAAAUAAACAUAUAGGUAAGAAUGAAAGGGGGGCCAGAGGUAGUGAGAUGUCUUGGCAGGUUAGAAUGCUGGUUGCCAAGCCUGGCAGCCUGAUUGCGUCCUUGGACCUUACAUCUUGGAAGAGAACCAGUUUCCUCAGUUGUCCUCUGACCAUCACAUGCAUGCAGUGGCAUGCAUGGCUGCACUCCAUGUGUGCACGCACACAGACGUGUUAAAUAAACACUAAACCAAAACCAAGACAAGCAGGGCAGUGAGCUCUCUCCUUAGCUUGCUCUUUCUUACCCGGAGGUGUGCUCUGUCAGGCUUUAAUGCAGGAGGAAGCCCCUGCUCUGGACCGUCCAGAGGAUAAUCUACAAGGGCCAUGUUUUAAAUAUACAGAAAGUUAGGAAGGGUUUGUCUAGUUUCCAUUCUCACAGAAGUGGUGCUAGUUGCAAUCUGGGCAUAAACAUUACUUUUCCUGCCUUUCACAAAGACCUUUCUUUGUCUCCAUCCUUCAUCCAUGGUCAUAUGACUAUGUUCUUCCUAGAGAAAGGUAAACACAUGUCAUCACUCUGUCGGUUUUCUAAGCAACACAGUCCUUAGUAUUAGCCUGACAGCCUCCUUCCUUUUCCCUCAUCACACCCAGUGGGACCUCAGGCUCCUGGACUCUGUUGAUGCCUCAUCCUGUUCCUUUUCACUGCCUCAAAUGCAACCGUCACUCAAAAGGCUGUGGAACUAAUAAAAACCGUGCUGUUUCUCAGGGGAAAAAAUAAAAGAAAGGUAGGAAGAAAAAGAUAGCAAGUACCAUAGAGAUGGAGACGGCAGCUGAACAUCGUCACGUCAGCUGUUCUCAUCAUCUAGCGAAUGUGGCUGGAGUAGCCUGGCUGAUGAGCAGACAAAGACAGCAUUACCAGCUCGGGGCUUCCAACAUCCAGCAAAAACUGACUGGGGAAGUUGAGGCCGUCAGCUGUAGCUCCUGACUGAGCUUCCUUUCUAUGGAUGGGUCUCUCGACCCUUGCAAACCCUUCACCUCCCAGCUGUUCCCAAGGACAUGGUGCUUUCUACGUUCCUGGCUGCUGGUUAUUUCCGGCUCUCUUUGUCACAGGACCAGGGGGCCAGGCUGGCUCCAAUUAAGGAGUUUGAGGAGACCAGGGAAGGCCUCUUUGCCUCCAGAGUCUACUCUCAGGAAACUCAACAAAAUGUGACAAUUUACCAAUAUCAUGUGUACUUCAGACCCUUACCAGGGGACAAGCAGGUGUCAGAAGCAUGUUUGCAUAUA